UAACCGUUGUUCAUUAGGUGUAGCGGCUAUUGACCCUUGCUGUCCCGCAGUUAACGCAUUACGUGAACCUCCUGUGGAGUACGGCCGCAAGCUUACAACUCAAAGGAAUUGACGGGGUCCCGCACAAGCGGUCGAGCAUGUGGUUUAAUUGGACGCAACGCGAAGAACCUUACCUGGAUUUGACAUCCCGGGAAUCCUAUCGAAAGACUGGAGUGCCCUUCGGGGAGCCCGGAGACAGGUGCUGCAUGGCUGUCGUCAGCUCGUGUCGUGACAUGUUGGGUUAAGUCCCGCAACGAGCGCAACCCUUGUCUUUAGUUACCAUCAUUCAGUUGGGGACUCUAAAGAUACUGCCCCGGUCAACGGGGAGGAAGGUGGGGAUGACGUCAAGUCCUCAUGGCCUUUAUGUCCAGGGCUACACACGUCCACAAUGGGCUGUACAAAGGGUCGCGAACCCGCGAGGGUAAGCCAAUCCCAAAAAGCAGUCCCAAGUUCGGAUUGGAGUCUGCAACUCGACUCCAUGAAGCUGGAAUCGCUAGUAAUCGCGGAUCAGCAUGCCGCGGUGAAUACGUUCCCGGGCCUUGUACACACCGCCCGUCACACCAUGAGAGUUGGUUGUACCAGAAGUCGUCGGGCUAACCUUUUUAAGGAUGCAGGCGCCUAAGGUAUGGCUGAUAAUUAGGGUGAAGUCGUAACAAGGUA
rnacentral:rRNA from 1 species